GUCAGAGUGAGGAGCUGGCUGACCCCUGGGGACGCGAGCCCCUAGCUCUGCGACUCAAAGCAAACCUGGGAGGAGCAGUGGGCACGGGCUUCAAAGUUAGCAAAGUGCCCCUGAAAGCAGCUCUCAGAGUUGGGCUCCCGGUGUUCCAGAGAUCUAGGGUGAGGUGGGACAAAGGAAAAACUCCCCGGGGACCUCCUGCUUCAGCUUGCAGAGCCCUGGCGCCAGGCGCUUCCGCCGCUCCUCAGCACUCGGCAUUUAUUGAGGUGCCUGCACAGGCACGUGAUGCCAGAGCCCUCCUUUACCACCCCCACCUCCACCUCCACCCAGUUCUGGCCUGUGGGAGUCGACUUGCAGCAAGCCAGGAUCUUUUGUGGGCGUGCACUGUGCCUUUGUGAGUGGAGGCCGGCAAGGUCUGGACCCUGGGGGAAGAGAGCCUCUAGCUUCUCCCACCUCUCUCAGAUCAGACACCCUCCCCCUAAGAUUCUCUCUGAUGGGAUGCUGAAAUUACUUACAGUCUGAUUGCAAAGGAGCUAGCCCCAGAACUUGAGUGUUUUGGAGAUGCCAGUACCAUGAGAUGACCAACAAGAGCAGCAGCAGUGGAGUACAGGCGGCUGGAGCCUAAAAGACAACAUGUGUGCUACAAAGGGCAUGGCUGGAGAAGUGACCCAAGCCCUUGGAGGAACCCAGAAGAUCUAUGAUGAGCUCUGUGGGCUGCAUGGGACUGUCGCAGCUUAACCCAUCUGUGCAUUGUGGGUUACAAUCAUGGAGCAAUCCAAUACUUCUGUUACCUUCACGAGGCGCCCCAUGUGCUGCAGAAGAAAGUAGAGCUCAGUGUGAAAUGCAGCGCUCAUUUAGACCAUGAGGAAGAAGGAACUGGAAGUUCAAAUAGGGAUAGCUUCAAAGGACUCUACUCCAAGUACACAAAUGCUCAUUUAAUUUCUUCAGGAAAAAGAAUUAAAGUGGCUUGGAUAACUCAUCAAGAAAGGCUCUGAGAGUUGUUGGAAAGUGAUUCUAACUUCAUUAGGGACUCAUGGAAGGUGCCCUGUCACUGGGGAUGGCCUGAAGUUAGUAUUGAAACUGCAGAAGAUCUCGUCUUCAUUUUGCUGUCUCACCAUGAGGUGAGUAGGUUUUCUUUUUUUCUAAACCAUGGAUGAAAACCUUCAAUCUGUGAGCCCAAAUCAGCAUUUUUUUUUCUUAAUGAAUUAACAACCUCAAUUUUGUAACAUAUAGCUUAAUAUUUAAAAUAUGUAUUAUUUUAUUUCUCAUCAGUAUUAUAAGGANNNNNNNNNNNNNNNNNNNNNNNNNUAAUUAUUAAAUGGCCAAAUUAAAAUUAUUGGGAUAUUAAUCAUCAAUAAAAUCAAUCAUAAAUAGCAUUCACUUAUAUUCCUUUUACCAAACUAUCCUGUAUCCUCUCCAUUCCUCAGAAUGAGCCAAUAAUCAACAAACUUUGAAAAAGUUCCUAAUCACUGUUGAAGUAUAAAUCAACUAGUAUUACAUGUGAUUUGAAUAUGAGAGAGCUGAUGUCACCAUGACAGUACAAAUCUGAAUUUAAAAAGAAUUCCUUUACUCAGAAUCAUCAUUAAAAGUAAAUACUUCUAUUAAUUUAUGACCAUGACUUUUCUUUAUUGCAUGUAGUAUUUGCAUGCUUAAAUAUUAGCAUAAGUAAAAGCUACACAAAAGAUUUUCAUUUUUAUAAAAAAGAAAGGGUCUAAGCCAUAUAGAUUUUCACCUAUGAAGAAUUCUAACAAAGUACUUGAAAGAUAUAUAUGUGACUUGAUAUGUUUUUUAAUGUGGCCCAUUCUCUCCCCUAAAUAGGAUACUAACUGUUAAUUAUAUAAAAAUUAAAUGUUUCUUUUAGAUUAUUUUUAUCUGUAUAGUAUUUAGAUUUCAAUCUUACAUUUGUUGUAGUUAACCCUGACAUUGCAAUUUAUAUUUAUAAACUUUUAGCCAACACUAACAACCUAUAAGUAUUAACAAAGCAUUGAUGUACAAUACUGCAGCCGUUACUUUGAUUUUAUGUAAAGAAAUCUUUGACAGCUAAUGAAAUUGUUCCUCUAAUUGCAGAAGUGUGUAUGGACAGUAACACACUUAAUUCAGAACACACUGCAGUCCUGAGUCUGCACUGAAGGUUUGGGAGAGUGUUUGCUGGUAUUACACAGUGCAAGUGCUUGCACAUUGCAAAUUACAAAUGUUGUGUGAUUACAACCUAGGCUGCAGUGAACAAACAUGAUAGCUCAUAGGCAAAAACACCUCAUGAUUGCACAUUGAUUUUUGAAUGAAUUUUUGGUUCCUGUGUGUUGAGAAACCGAUUACUAUUGCCAAAUUUAACCCAACUGCCACACUGUAGUAUAUGACCUCCAUAAUGAAAUCCCAAAUUGCAGCUAGGGGUCUAGAUAGCAUAUCCCCUCACUGCAGUAAAGAAGCAGUGGCUAUGGAGACUGCUUUUAGAUUUUAAAGUAAAACAAUGUCAAAGGAUACAUCAUUAGUAGGCAGGGGCAUUAUGAGUUCACUGGGCCUGGGCCAUUGCCAGUUUUUAAAGAGAUGUGAGAAAACUAGUGACCUGAUAUUUCGGUUGAUUCUAGUUGAAUAGAGAGAAUUGCUAGCAGUUCUCAAGACACAGAUACAAUAGCUAAAUUGUUUUGCAUGACUACAGACAUGUACAGAACUCACUGACUUCCUUGGUAUCUUAAAAAGACUUUAUAAUCUGAAAAAUUACAGCAGGGUGUUUACUCAAUGGCAAGGCAUACAAAUAUCAUUUGUAACAAUGUUACAUUUUUUGACAAAAAGGUUUCAUUCACAUUCAAACUUGAAAAGAGAAAAGUAUGUGUGGCCUGGAAAAUCACAUAAUAUUUAUUCUUAGCCUGCGUUUCGUAGUCAUGAUAGUCAGGUUAGAUUGUUCUUACAAAGAUUUACUUUAUGUUUAUAUUCAAGUUUCUCUGCAUACCUACAUAUGCAUAGUGUGCCUGGUGCAUGUGCAGAACAGAAGGCUUGAGAUACCAUGAUACUUGAGUUACAUGCAGUUAUAUGCUGUCAUGUGGGUGCCUGGAAUCAAACAUGGGUCCUCUGACAGAGGAACAAUUGUGCCUAUGUUGAGCUAUCUCCCCAGCCCCAAAGGUAAAUUUUCUUAAGUUUAAACUUGCUUAGUGAUCAUGCAAGUUCUGGUAAAUCUGUGUUUUUAUUUUUCAGAAAACCAAGGAAGUCUGCUGAUUACUUCAAUAAGGUAGAAGGAGAGGAAAAGAGGGAUGGAGGGAAGGAUAGAUAGUGACAGAGAGGGAGAAGGGGAAAGGAGCACCAGCAUCUCUUUUAAUGUCUCUCCAUUCAUGAAAAGUAUUUUAAAAAAUUAAAUUGACUUUCCCUUUUAGAAUACAAGGGAUCAUUUUCUUACUACCUAGAUUUGCUCAUUUGUUCUUAGACAUAAUCCUGUUGAUUCAAGCAAUAGUGGUAACUCUGACUUUCUGGGUUCUCAUGUCCAUCUCUGCCUUGGCUACCAGUGUAAACUUUAUCUGCUUCUAUUCCUGAGGUGUUUGAAAGAUGUGACCUUAGUUUGCCAGGGGCAGGAGCUUCUUGUUAACUAUAAACAUAUGCUUUUCUUUUUAAUUUCAUUUCACUAAAAAAUGAAAUAAAACAGUGCUGUUUCACAAUGGAGUUAAAAAUGAGGUUGUUAAAGUAAGGUUUCUUUCCUCUCCCUCCCUCACUGCUUCCCCUCCAUCCUUUACUCCAUAUAAAAUUUAAAAUGCUUACAUUUUGUUCAUUAUUAAUAUGUCUUUUUCUGUGAAGUGGGUGAUUGCAGCUCUACACAAAUAUACAAACACUGGAAACAGCCUGAGUUUCAAUCCACAGAAACUAUAUAAACAAACUGAUACAAUCAAAUAAUGGAAUUACACUUAGAAGUGGGUGAAGAAUCAACUAUUGCUAAAACAACAUAAGUUAAUCCCCAACACCAAGAGGACUGAGAGCAUACAGAGUGCAUGCUGGUUGCCACUUCUGUGAAAUUAAACAAACAAACAAACAAACAAACAAAGCAUGGGCAAAAGAUUUACUUUGGGUUAAAAAUCAAUGACAGUUUCCUGGAAAUGAAAGAAGAUGUCUCUCUAUGAAGCUAUAUACCUCAAUAGGAAUAGGAUUGCUGACAAUUCUAAUUCUUGAAUGUCAGCACUUCUCAAAUGUCAUUCUCAUUGUCACAGAUCUUUAACUUACUGAUAGUGAAUCUUCCAUCAGAUUAAGCUAAGUUUACAUUAUAAUUAAUAUCAGAAUGUGGAAUCAACAGAGAGGUACACAGAUGUCUGCAUUAAUCAAAUUUAAAAAAUAAGACAGAGAAAUAAUAAAUAGAUAAACAGAAGGGACCGUUUACAAAGCAGAUAUAGUAAAACUCAUUUAAUUCAGUGUAGAUUAUAAGUAUGUGUUCCUUAUAAAGUACUUUCAGUGAAUAUAUGAAUAUUUUAUAAGAUACUGAAGAAGGUUGAUAUAUUUUUUAAUUAAGAGUACAUUGUCAUCUUCAGUGCUAAUGACAGAGGGUCCCAAGGUCCCCAGAGGACUCUCUAUGCCAUAGGCACCCUAGCACACACUGGAUCUUGGGAUCACUGGAGAGAGUGGAACACAAUAUCUGUUCCAAAGAAUCCCAAAGGAUCUUGUACCAGCAGGAACAGGGACAAAGAAACAACACCCACCAACUGGCUGGGAUUCUUUCCAUCAGGGCCAGCCCCACGCCAUCUUGGGUGUGAAUUGGGCAGGCACUAGCACACCCAGGAUCUUGGGAUCACUGAAACCAGUCUACACAGGAGAGCACCUGGGUGGCAGAAGCAAAAGAGCUUCUUAGAAAGGAUCCCUUCAGGUCUUCAUCCUUAGCCAGGAGGCAGAGCUGAGACCCAGAAAUCUGGGCACCUUCCGUGCCAGAGGAGAGUCUGCUUCCAGGGAGGGCUCUGACCUCAGGACUCAAGAGGUGGAUCUGAGCUCCAGAAUUCUGGGCAUCUUCCCUGCAGGAGGAGAGUUUGCCUGCAGAGACUGCUCUAACCACUGGGACUCAGGAGAGAGUUGGGCUCCAAGGAGUGCUGACAGAGGCUAACAGAAUCACAGGAGGAACAACUUCCAGCCAGAGACAGCCAGAAUAUCUAACACAAGAGAUUACCAGAUGGUGAAAGGCAAACUUAAGAAUCUUACUAACAGAAACCUAGUCCACUGGACAUCAUCAGAACUCACUAUGCCCACCAUAACGAGUCAUGGAUACCC
ensembl:antisense Gm16070 predicted gene 16070